GUCUAUGGCCAUACCACCCUGAAUGGCAGGAUCUUGUCAGAUCUUGGAAGCUAAGCAGGGUCGGGCCUGGUUAGUACUUGGAUGGGAGACUCCCAAGGACUACCAAAUUAUGAACU
rnacentral:rRNA from 1 species